rnacentral:rRNA from 1 species
UACAGAGGGUGCGAGCGUUGUCCGGAAUCACUGGGCGUAAAGGGCGCGUAGGUGGCGACCCAAGUCGAUGGUGAAAGCUCGCCGCUCAACGGCGAGUCGGCCACCGAUACUGGGUUGCUGGAGCACUGUAGAGGCUCAUGGAAUUCCGGGUGUAGCGGUGGAAUGCGUAGAGAUCCGGAAGAACACCGGUGGCGAAGGCGGGACUCUGGGCCGAUACUGACGCUGAGGUGCGAAAGCGUGGGGAGCAAACAGG